AUUGAACGCUGGCGGCAUGCUUUACACAUGCAAGUCGAACGGCAGCGCGGGCUUCGGCCUGGCGGCGAGUGGCGAACGGGUGAGUAAUACAUCGGAAAGUGCCCAGUAGUGGGGGAUAGCUCGGCGAAAGCCGGAUUAAUACCGCAUACGACCUGAGGGUGGAAGCGGGGGAUCUUCGGACCUCGCGCUAUUGGAGCGGCCGAUGGCAGAUUAGCUAGUUGGUGGGGUAAAGGCCUACCAAGGCGACGAUCUGUAGCUGGUCUGAGAGGACGACCAGCCACACUGGGACUGAGACACGGCCCAGACUCCUACGGGAGGCAGCAGUGGGGAAUUUUGGACAAUGGGCGAAAGCCUGAUCCAGCAAUGCCGCGUGUGUGAUGAAGGCCUUCGGGUUGUAAAGCACUUUUGGCGGGAACGAAAAGGACUGUGCCAAUACCACGGUUCGAUGACGGUACCCGCAGAAUAAGCACCGGCUAACUACGUG
rnacentral:rRNA from 1 species